AGCAGUAGCCGCGGUAAUACGUAGGUCCCGAGCGUUGUCCGGAUUUAUUGGGCGUAAAGCGGGCGCAGGCGGUUAGAUAAGUCUGAAGUUAAAGGCUGUGGCUUAACCAUAGUACGCUUUGGAAACUGUUUAACUUGAGUGCAAGAGGGGAGAGUGGAAUUCCAUGUGUAGCGGUGAGAUGCGUAGAUAUAUGGAGGAACACCGGUGGCGAAAGCGGCUCUCUGGUCUGUCACUGACGCUGAGGCUCGAAAGCGUGGGUAGCGAACAGGAUUAGAUACCCCCGUAGUCCCUGUCUCUUAUACA
rnacentral:rRNA from 1 species